AUUUAACGCUGGCGGCAGGCCUAACACAUGCAAGUCGAGCGAGAGGCGGACGGGUGAGUACAGUAUGGGGACUGCCCGAUAGAGGGGGAUAACUACUGGAAACGGUGGCUAAUACAGCAUACUGUCGGAUAACCCAUAUGGGAUUAGCUAGUAGGUAAGGUAAUGGCUUACCUAGGCGACGAUACCUAGAUGGUCUGAGAGGAUGAUCAGCCACACUGGGAGUGAGAAACGGCCCAGACGCCUACGGAGGCAGCAGUGGGGAAGAUUGCACAAUGGGCGCAAGCCUGAUGCAGCCAUGCCGCGUGUAUGAAGAAGGCACUAGGGUUGUAAAGUACUUUCAGUCGGGAGGCGUUACCGACAGAAGAAGCACCGGCUAACUCCGUGCCAGCAGCCGCGGUAAUAC
rnacentral:rRNA from 1 species